AGCCGGGGCCACACGGGAGUCACUGACCACAGCCAGGCGAGAGCCGGCUUUCCGGUGCCGCCACAUUCCGGGCACCAGGCUCCGGGCUCUUCAGAGCAUUUGGGGCGGGCGACGGAGGUCCGUCCACUCUCGCUUGGGUGCAGAAGGGCGCGGCGGUGCGGGGAAGCCGCCUUGGAGGCUCCAAGAUUAGCUCAAAUUCAGCGCGGCCAAGCGCAGGUGCGGGGGCGCUCGCCGCCGCCCUGCUUAUCUGGGGACAGUCCCGGAACCCGGGGACCCGGCUCCGCCCCAGCCCGCGCCCUCGCCCACAGGCAGCAGCGAGGCCUCUUCCCCGGCCCCGCCCCAGCCCGCGCCCUCGCCCACAGGCAGCAGCGAGGCCUCUUCCCCGGCCCCGGGAGCCCGUGUCGCGCCCUUCGCUCGCGCGUUCCAGUCCAGGCUACGAGCAGGUAGUGCCUCGGUGCACAACACCAUGCAGCUGAAGCCUGGCAAGCCCAAUGGCUGGAGGAUUCCCUUCAACAGCCAUGAGGGUGGCUGUGGGGCUGCCAUGCGGGCCAUGUGCAUUGGUCUCAGGUUCCCACACCAUAGCCAACUGGACACACUGAUCCAAGUGAGCAUCGAGAGUGGUCGGAUGACCCACCACCACCCAACAGGCUACCUGGGGGCCCUUGCGUCUGCUCUUUUUACAGCCUAUGCUGUGAAUGCCAGACCACCCUUGCAGUGGGGAAAAGGACUGAUGGAGCUGCUACCAGAAGCUAAAAAGUACAUUGUCCAAUCAGGCUACUUUGUAGAGGAAAAUCUUCAACACUGGUCCUACUUCCAAACCAAAUGGGAAAAUUACCUAAAACUUAGAGGGAUUUUGGAUGGAGAAUCAGCCCCUACCUUCCCUGAGCCUUUUGGUGUGAAGGAGAGGGAUCAGUUCUACACCUCCCUGAGCUACUCUGGCUGGGGUGGCAGCAGUGGGCACGAUGCCCCCAUGAUUGCCUACGAUGCCGUUCUUGCUGCAGGAGACUCCUGGAAGGAGCUUGCCCACCGAGCCUUUUUCCAUGGUGGAGACAGUGACUCUACAGCUGCCAUUGCUGGCUGCUGGUGGGGAGUUAUGUACGGUUUUAAAGGAGUGAGUCCCUCCAACUAUGAGAAACUAGAAUACAGAAACCGGCUGGAAGAGACAGCUAGGGCUUUAUAUUCUCUCGGGUCAAAAGAAGACACUGUAAUUUCCCUUUAGGGAGAUGUGAUGUUCACUUCUGAUGGAUUCUUCUUUUGUGUAUUUCCUUUUCUGCUAUUUCUUUUCAGUUUUUCCAAAGUCAAGAGUCUUAACCUUGUACUCAGGAAAUUUUGAGAUAACAAGUCCCUUGGGCACCUUAAGCUCAGUUUUUUCAGGCUCAUCCUGUUCUUCCAGAAUCUAUCCCUUUUCUUACACUGAAGAGUCUUUUAGCUCAAUUGAUAGGGUCAGCGUCUCUCAAGCAAAAAAUCUCAUGACCUCAUAUUUGAGUCUUCAUUUUCAUCAUCUACUUGUUCUAAAAGUUUUUUCUGUUUGUCUCAAGUUGGGUUCCCACAAAG
rnacentral:sRNA from 1 species